UACGUAGGGACCAAGCGUUGUUCGGAUUUACUGGGCGUAAAGGGCGCGUAGGCGGCGCGGUAAGUCACUUGUGAAAUCUCUGAGCUUAACUCAGAACGGCCAAGUGAUGCUGCAGUGCUAGAGUGCGGAAGGGGCAAUCGGAAUUCUUGGUGUAGCGGUGAAAUGCGUAGAUAUCAAGAGGAACACCUGAGGUGAAGACGGGUUGCUGGGCCGACACUGACGCUGAGUGCGCGAAAGCCAGGGGAGCAAACGGG
rnacentral:rRNA from 1 species